GGGUAUAACUCAGCGGAAGAGUGCUACUCCGACACAGUAGUGGGCAUCGGUUCAAAUCCGAUUACCCU
rnacentral:ncRNA from 14 species